rnacentral:lncRNA from 1 species
UUUGAAUCAUGGCUACUGGAAGCACUGAAGUCUUGUGAGGUGUUAAGAUGCAUUUUGAGAUGACUGGGAUGGCUAAGGUAAGGAUUACGGUGUCGCGAAGCUUCUGGAACAUUUGUCUGAUUUGCUUUUACUGGGCAAACAUGACACCUGUGUCUCAUUUUGAUCAGCACACUGGGAAGAAAUAUAGUCGGCUGUGCUAGAUUCUCUGCUGCUUAAGAUGAAGGGGGGUAUGAGCUACCUUACGCAAAGCUCUCUGGGAAAGGAGGCUUUAACCACUUUUUCCCUUCUUCAUAUCCAUAUUCAGGAGGUCCAGCCCUAAGACAUUGUUUUGGAGUCAUUUUUCUGAAUUCUCAUAACCAUGGAAGGAUGCUUGAUAGUGUGUGCCCCUUUGAACUGAUGAGGAAAUUGAGGUGUGAUUUGCCCUAACCCAGUACUUAGUAGAAUGCUCUAUACAUGGGGAGCUUGGGAGCCGUUUGUUGUAGACUCUGCUGACCACUUUGACAACCGCUGCCUGAAGACUAACAGGCUCCUACUGGUGAGGAAUCACCCGCGACUGGCUUUCCUGCUUGUUUCAGCAAAGGGAGAAAACCAGAAAUGGCCGACCUUACCUUGGCUGGCACUGGGCUCGGCUUCAUUCCAGCUUGGCAGAGUGGAUAGAACCCGGGUCUGGGAAUCAGAAGGUCACGGGUUCUAAUCCUGGCUCUCCCACUUGUCUGCUGUGUGACCUUGGGCAAGUCACUUCACUUCUCUGGGCUCCAGUUACCUCAUCUGUAAAAUAGGGGUCGAGACGUCGAGUCCCACGUGGGACAGGGACUCUGUCCAUCCUGUUAUGCUUGUAUCCACCCCAGCACUUAGUACAGUGCCUGGCACACAGUAAGUGCUUAAGAAAUACCAUAAUUUUUAUUACUGUCAUCUAUGAAUACAGAUCCCUUAUAUUCUCACCUCUCCCCAUGCAAGCUCCUCGUUGUUUCCCUGGCCUGGAACUCCCUCCCCACCCCCAAAUCUGACAAUCAGUCCAUCGAUCAAUGGUAUUUAUUGAGUGCUUACCGUGUGCAGAGCACUGUACUAAGUGCUUGUGAGUGACAGAGUUGGUAGACAUGAUCAGAGCCUUCCUGAAAAUCCCACUCCUCCCCCUCCUAUGAUCCUCUAGAUUGUAUAAACUUGUUAUGGGUGGGAAAUGUGUCUACAGACUCUGUUAUCCUGUACACAGUAAGCGCUCAAUAAAUAUGAUUGAGAAACGUUCUACAUUUGCAGAUUCGAAGGGCAUCCCAGAUGACAUCAACCUGUUGUGUGAUGAGGAAGCAGCAUGUUCUGGUGGAAAGAGCAUAGGCCUGGGAGUCAGAGGAUGUGAGAACUAAUCCUUGCUCUGCCACAUGUCUGCUGUGUGACCUUGGGCAAGUCACUUCACUUCUCUGUGCCUCAGUUACCUCAUCUGUAAAAUGGAGAUUGAUUGUCAGCCCUGUGUGGGGCAGGGACUGUGUCCAACCUGAUUACCCUGUAUUUACCCCAGCGCUUGGAACAAUGUUUGGCACAUAGUAAGUGCUUAAUAAACACCAUUAUUAUUAUCGGACCAUGGGUGCACCCAGUGUAAUGUAAUGACAUCAUAUGAGGCAGGAGGGAACAGCCAACUUUUCCCUGCCUCAAGGUAGCCA